GACGAACGCUGGCGGCGUGCUUAACACAUGCAAGUCGAACGGAAAGGCCCUGCUUUUGUGGGGUGCUCGAGUGGCGAACGGGUGAGUAACACGUGAGUAACCUGCCCUUGACUUUGGGAUAACUUCAGGAAACUGGGGCUAAUACCGGAUAGGAGCUCCUGCUGCAUGGUGGGGGUUGGAAAGUUUCGGCGGUUGGGGAUGGACUCGCGGCUUAUCAGCUUGUUGGUGGGGUAGUGGCUUACCAAGGCUUUGACGGGUAGCCGGCCUGAGAGGGUGACCGGCCACAUGGGGCGUGGGAAGGGACCCGGGCCCAAUAGGGGGGAAGGGGGGGGAAAUUUUGCAAAAGGGGCCGAGGCUGGGGGGAAAAACCCCGGGGGGGGGAGGACGGCUUUGGGGGUGUAAACCGAUUUCGCUUUUGCCGAGGUGUGGGGGCGGUAAAUGGGGAAAAAACACCCGCUAACUUACGG
rnacentral:rRNA from 1 species